ensembl:lncRNA LINC01418 long intergenic non-protein coding RNA 1418
CCCAGUUCGAGCUUCCCGGCUGCUUUGUUUACCUAAUCAAGCCUGGGCAAUGGCGGGCGCCCCUCCCCCAGCCUCGCUGCCGCCUUGCAGUUUGAUCUCAGACUGCUGUGCUAGCAAUCAGCGAGACUCCGUGGGCGUAGGACCCUCCGAGCCAGGUGCCGGAUAUAAUCUCGUGGUGCGCCGGUUUUUAAGCCGGUCUGAAAAGCGCAAUAUUCGGGUGGGAGUGACCGGAUUUUCCAGAGUUUAGGAUGCUUCAAGGGAAAGAUGAACCGGGGAACCGCCACCGUGACUAUUUCUCAUCUACAUAUCCACCCCCCGAAGUUCUUAAGGUGGAGCGGAAUUCAUUUUAUUUGCAAAUGUGGAAGGCAUUAUAAAAACCGUGAAUGAUGCCCCCUCCCAUGAGGGAUACAGGGAGAGCCACGUGAAGAGGAUGUUGGGCUUCUUCAAGCUGGCAGGGCACUGAGCUGACUGUCCACCACACUCACCAGGGGCCUUUGUGCAUCCCGUGGGGCAGCUCUGGGAAAGGAGGGCCAGAAAGGAUGGGCUUUCCCUUUUCCUCGUGGCAGAAACUUCCCUGACUUCAUAGCUGGGUUCCCCCUAUCCACAGUUUACAGUACAACUAUCUCCUCCAAGUUGGCCAGCAUUGCCUCUGAUACGUGAACAAGAAGUAUUUGGAGGGUUAAUAAAUACAAAUCAACACAUAUACACAUGAAGAGAAAAUGGAUGUAAUAACCAAGGACUGCCUGAUAUGCGGGAACUGAAGCUCAGAAAGGCAAAACAACUUUUCAUGCUCUUCUACCUAAUAAGUCGGAGAACCAAGAUUCAAAUUCUAAAUGCGGGUCUGAUUGAGGCCAAGCAGGUGAAGAAAUGGAAGCUCAGAGAAGUUGUGGUGCCUGUUCAAGAUCACUCAGCUGUACAGAGAAUGAGUAUCAUUAUCUCUGACUGAAGAUGAAGAACAGAAACAGUGAUUUGUUUAUGACGGAGAAGAGAGUCUGCCAUAAAGUCUUACUGGACCCAGGAUGGCCUACACCUUCUCUUCUGGCUUUGCCAUCUCUAAAACUGGCUUUUCUGGGAUAGAGAUCUUUGUUCCUUGGUCUGAAAUCCAAAUACAUGAUGCAGAAAAAGUGAGAAAAGUGAUUUAGGAACAAGUGGUUCGUGGAGAGGGCUCCUCAUUUUCUGGAUAAAGGCAGUAGCUCUACUUAGAAUCACAGAAUUAAAACCAAGAGAGGCCUCAGAGACCAUUUAGCCCCCCAUCCCACUCCUAAUUGUACAGUGGCAGGAAGUGAGGUGUGAGAACUGGAACUAUGAGCUCAGUAUCACCUAGUGAGUGGCAUCCUGGAUGGAACUUAGGGCUCCUGGCUUUCAGUUUAGUGCCUUUUUCUCCAUCCCACUUUGUUAUUCGACUACACUAGGCUAACCGAAGAGAAAGUUCUUGUAAUUUCAGAGAAAUCUUCAGCUUUUUCUUCUGCAAAUCUGGGAUGACACUCUCAUAGUAAAUGGAGAAUAACUGUGCUCCAAACAAGAAUGCUAGGAUUUAGGUAUCAAGAGUAUUAGGUACUCAAUCAGAAUGGGAUGCCCUCUGGACCUGGGACUCACUUAAAAAUAGAAGUCAGUGUUUCAACAGAGAUCCUUGCUGCAUUAUGAACUGACAGAAAGGUUUUGAUCCUAACACAGUGAUACAGGGGGGAUUAACAGAAGUGAAUUCAACUGCAGCUAAGGGGUUGGUACAGCUCAUGUCCCAGUUGCAUCCUGUCUUACCAAGGAAGCUGAAGUGACAGAUCCUGAGAUUUGGCCAAGCCUCGUGAUCUAAUUGGAAGUGUCAGUAGGAUUGGACAGAUAAGAAUACAGCUGGCCAGGCGCGGUGGCUCACGCCUAUAAUCCCAGCACUUUGGGAGGCCCAGGUGGGUGUAUCAUUUAAGGUCAGAAGUUCAAGACCAGCUUGGCCAACAUGGUGAAACCUCAUCUCUACUAAAAAUAUAAAAAAAAUUAGCCAGGCAUGGUGGUGGGCGCC